UGGGGUAUCUUCCGCAAUGGACGAAAGUCUGACGGAGCAACGCCGCGUGAGUGAAGACGGCCUUCGGGUUGUAAAGCUCUGUUAUUCGGGAAGAACGAUUCGUUUGUGAACAAUGAACGGAAGUGACGGUACCGAAAGAGAAAGCCACGGCUAACUACGUGCCAGCAGCCGCGGUAAUACGUAGGUGGCAAGCGUUGUCCGGAAUUAUUGGGCGUAAAGAGCGCGUAGGCGGUAUGGUAAGUCUGUCUUAGAAGUGCGGGGCUUAACCCCGGGAGGGGACAGAGACUGUCAUACUGGAGUCUCGGAGAGGAAAGCGGAAUUCCUAGUGUAGCGGUGAAAUGCGUAGAGAUUAGGAAGAACACCGGUGGCGAAGGCGGCUUUCUGGACGAGCACUGACGCUGAGGCGCGAAAGCGUGGGGAGCGAACAGG
rnacentral:rRNA from 1 species